GACAGAGGAUGCAAGCGUUAUCCGGAAUUAUUGGGCGUAAAGAGCUCGUAGGCGGUUUGUCGCGUCUGCUGUGAAAACCCGAGGCUCAACCUCGGGCCUGCAGUGGGUACGGGCAGACUAGAGUGCGGUAGGGGAGAUUGGAAUUCCUGGUGUAGCGGUGGAAUGCGCAGAUAUCAGGAGGAACACCAAUGGCGAAGGCAGAUCUCUGGGCCGUAACUGACGCUGGAGGAGCGAAAGCAUGGGGAGCGAACGG
rnacentral:rRNA from 1 species